rnacentral:rRNA from 1 species
UUUACGCUUGCCUUUAGUACCUCGCAACGGCUGCGGACGACCAGGGCGAGCGCCAGAACGUUUUUUACCUUUAGACAUUACAUCACUCCUUCUGCACGUAAUUUUUGACGCACGUUUUCUUCUGCGUCAGUAAGAACGUCAGUGUUUCCUGCGCGUACACGCAAGGUAAACGCGAACAAUUCAGCGGCUUUAACCG